CGCUGGCGGCGUGCUUAACACAUGCAAGUCGAACGGACUGAGCGUCCUUCGGGGGCGAAAGUUAGUGGCGAACGGGUGAGUAACGCGUGAGGAACCUGCCUUUCAGAGGGGGACAACAGUUGGAAACGACUGCUAAUACCGCAUAACAUGUUUCUUUCGCAUGAAGGAAACAUCAAAGAUUUUUAUCGCUGAAAGAUGGCCUCGCGUCUGAUUAGAUAGUUGGUGAGGUAACGGCUCACCAAGUCGACGAUCAGUAGCCGGACUGAGAGGUUGAACGGCCACAUUGGGACUGAGAUACGGCCCAGACUCCUACGGGAGGCAGCAGUGGGGAAUAUUGGGCAAUGGGCGCAAAGCCUGACCCAGCAACGCCGCGUGAAGGAAGAAGGCUUUCGGGUUGUAAACUUCUUUUACCAGGGACGAAGGAUGUGACGGUACCUGGAGAAAAAGCCACGGCUAACUACGUGCCAGCAGCGGC
rnacentral:rRNA from 1 species